CCCUUAGAUGUUCUGGGCCGCACGCGCGCUACACUGACGGAGGCAGCGAGCGUGUCCUUCGCCGGCAGGUGCGGGCAAUCUUGCGAGUCUCCGUCGUGCUGGGGAUAGAUGGUUGCAAUUGUCGAUCUUGAACGAGGAAUUCCUAGUAAGCGCGAGUCAUCAGCUCGCGCUGAUUACGUCCCCGCCCUUUGUACACACCGCCCGUCGCUACUACAGAGUGCCCGUGUCCAAGAAACGGUCGGACCUGUGCGGCCUCUCCGGGCGACCGGAGGGCCGUUACGGGGAAGACCCUUUAUUUGACGCGGGUCGAUGAAGUAAAAGUCGUAACA
rnacentral:rRNA from 1 species